UGGGGAAUAUUGGACAAUGGGCGCAAGCCUGAUCCAGCCAUGCCGCGUGAGUGAUGAAGGCCCUAAGGUUGUAAAGCUCUUUCACCGGUGAAGAUAAUGACGGUAACCGGAGAAGAAGCCCCGGCUAACUUCGUGCCAGCAGCCGCGGUAAUACGAAGGGGGCUAGCGUUGUUCGGAUUUACUGGGCGUAAAGCGCACGUAGGCGGACUAUUAAGUCAGGGGUGAAAUCCCGGGGCUCAACCCCGGAACUGCCUUUGAUACUGGUAGUCUUGAGUUCGAGAGAGGUGAGUGGAAUUCCGAGUGUAGAGGUGAAAUUCGUAGAUAUUCGGAGGAACACCAGUGGCGAAGGCGGCUCACUGGCUCGAUACUGACGCUGAGGUGCGAAAGCGUGGGGAGCAAACAGG
rnacentral:rRNA from 1 species